UGGAGGGCGAGGGAGGCAGCAGACACGGACAGCACACCUGUGGCUUCGGGACGAGGUGGAUGUUGAGGGAGUUAAGAAGACAUUUGCAAGUCCCAUCCCCCCCCCGAAAAAACUCCACAAUUGAUUCUUUUGAGCUCAAAAAGUUGUAUCAUAAGCACAUUUUUUAUGGCUAAAAAUUGGGGUUUACAAAGGGAAAACGACAAGCCUGUAAUUGGCAUACUUGGUAUGAAAGUUUGCUUGCAUAGAAGAGAUUCAUGUUUGUAAUUUCAUUUUCGGAAACCAUGCUAAGCAUCCGGAGAAACCACAGGAGGGCAAGGGCUGUGGGAACUCUCUUUCUGGAACCACCUGGUUUCAGAUUCACCCAUAAAAAUGGAACCACAUGGAGUUUUAUUCCAGCGUUCUGGGAUCCAUGGACAUUUCCAGCCAAGUGGAGGUGGAAUUCCAAGUACAAACAUUUGGCAACUGACAUUUUCUGAAUAUAUUCACUGUUGUAUUACAGUUUUUGUUUUGUUUUUGUUUAGUUUUUUUUUUUUUUCUUUAAUCUCCACUCUGGGUUCCUAAUUGGCCUGUUUCAUGCUUGGCUCUUUGUAUUCGUGUGCGCUAGAUGUCGUUGGGGUUUAGCCACAGCCCGAACACCUUGCGGACACAAAGAAGAUGGUGACGUACAAUUAACUGUGUCUUACAUCUCAUGUGAGCACAGCCGCGUCCUGAUCUGGCUGUUUUGUCUGUACUUUCCUCAUUCCUGCACUCUCUAUUCCCCACCCCCACCCCCACUCUCUUCCUCCCCUCUCUCUCCUGGGUGUGUCACCACACAUUCUUCUACACUGACCUGUUCUCUCUCUGUUCGAUGAAGACAAGAUGCAAAGAUAUUUGCUCCAACAGUAGGAAACUUCUCUUUUGGCUCUAUUGUGUCUUAUAUACAACACGAAAGGAGCCAAAUGCGAGGUAAUCUUAUUUUCUGUGCACAGGUGUGUGUCAGUGAGCGCUUCUCCAUCUGUCAUUCUGUCUGUCCGUCUGCCUCUUUUCGUCUUCCUGAACAAAUGGGACCUUACUGUACAUACUGCUUUGCAAGCUUGCUUCCCCUCCCUUGGACGUCAUUCCUGUGAGCCCAUUUCGCUGCCGGCUGCACCGUGUGCACAGCAGGGCCACGGCGUGGUUGUCUCUUUACCAGCCCCUCCUGAUGGACACUCAUGUUAUUUCCAGCCCUACACUUCUAUAAAGCUGCUGCCAUGGGCAUCUAUGCUCACGAUCUGGGCGCACUUGUGAGCUGACUUCUGUACAAUGCAUUUAUGCACAGGGUAGAGGUCAGGGAGGUAUGCAGAGCAGUGUCCUAUAAGGAUUUAAAUUGGGAGUGGACAGCCUGCCCGGUGCAUUUGAGGAGACAAACAGUAGUCGAAUUAGGCUUGUCUGGGACCAUCUCACACACUCCUCACCGUGGCCCCACGUAGGCAGUGCGACUUGCUUUUAAUAGACAGUGAAGGUGAUGCGCAUGGAAUAGCUUGUCUCAGGCACCGGACUUCCCAGGUCCCAGCCUCGGUUCCUUCUCCCACCAAGCCCAUCUUUGCUGAUGGCCAGGAAUCCUUAAGUGAUGUUCUGGUUUAAUCACCUACAGCUGCCAACUGACUGUGCUCACCUGACAAGGGUAACGUCCUUACCUGCAGCUCCUCGGAAACUCUCAUCCCAGGGAAGACCACAUUCGGCCGUCACUCCUUCCCUUGCUUACAUCCUGGGCAACUUAGAUUUAUCUUAAUGACAUGUGCACAUGGAGACGUGUCCUGUCCCUGACAUCCUGAGGGCUGGGGUCCCAGGCCCCGGUCCUCCGUGUGCUCAGGCCAGAGUUCUUCCGGCAGCAGAAACAAAGGCCUUCAAAGCCUUUCUCCUUAAAGACGAGACUGAAGACAACGGCAAGAUUGACAGGCUGUUCCCGGUGUAAGACACUCGGGGCGGCCUGGCAGCAAGGAGACGGAGGCAGCGCCCUCGGUGCCAGCCACCGGCAUCCCUGGGGACCCGCUGCCCCUCUCGGGGUGACCGGUUCUCCUUCUUGGUCUGCACCCCACAGUCAGCGUUCUCAGGCGACGAGGUCUGAGGAGGGUGGCUGUCCCCACCCGGCCUGGAGCCCUCGACUGGUCAGUGGCUCAGGCGAGGGCUGGAAACUGAACGGCCAGCUGUUCAGAGCACCGUUAUUUGCCUCACUCAGCUUUGGCCCCGUGUGGCGGGGCGGAUCCCUCUGUGAAGAAGAACCUGUCCGUGAGGAAGCCAGCGCAGGACGAGGUGGUGUUGAUGAGGGGAAGGUGACAGGAGCCACUGACUGGGCAGCGCUGGUGGCCGGGCCCCCUCCCUGCUCCACAUUCAGCCAAAAUACCACCGGGUGCUAGAGGCUGAAGGAGACUCAUUUCCGUUCAUUUGACUAGUUUUCAUCUGUGCCGACUGUGGGUGAGACUGGGGUCAUGCAGGUCAAUGAGGGAAGACCCCCACCUGAGAUGUGUGUGGGGGGGUCAGGUGGGCCCCGUGGGGGCUGGGAGGGCAUUGAAUUGGCUGGGAGGGUGGGCAGCUCCCUGGGCAGGUGAUCCCAACGUGUGCUCGCUCUCAAAGCUUAAAUAGGAGACAGCCCGCCUCUCCCAGCACUGGAGACCCUGACGGGAUGCUCCGUAAAAGGAUCGUUGGGUUCUGAGAACUUAGGGCAGCAGCCAACAACACCUGACCAGCACCGACUGGUCAGAUGGCCCCAAGCUCCAGAUGAAUAUGCAGAAUAACGCCAAGAAUAAAGGUGAAUACGCAUCCACCGUGGGUCCUCCCGUGCACACUGCUGACUGAUGGUGGGGACACCAGGCAUGGUGUCUGAGUGGCAUCUGGAGAAGGGAGGCUGCUCUAGCAUCUGAAGCCAAACCUUCCCAACACAAGUAGCUAAGAAAGGCACGAUGCGUUGCUUCUCAGAGUCUCAGCGGGCGAGACCUUGUUGAUAACGUGGUUUCCAUCUCAGAGAAUAGAGACUGGACUUUCAGCCUAAUGGGCAGAAUUCUUUUCUCUUUCCUCUUUUCCCUCCAGAUUCAUCGUAAUCAAGUGCACAUAUAUUUGCCUCUUAUCCUUAAAAAGCUGUUACAUUAA